rnacentral:rRNA from 1 species
GACGGAGGAUGCAAGCGUUAUCCGGAAUGAUUGGGCGUAAAGCGUCCGCAGGUGGCAGUUCAAGUCUGCUGUCAAAGACCGGGGCUUAACUUCGGAAAGGCAGUGGAAACUGAACAGCUAGAGUAUGGUAGGGGCAGAGGGAAUUCCUGGUGUAGCGGUGAAAUGCGUAGAGAUGUGGAGGAACACCGAUGGCGAAGGCAGCCCCCUGGGUCAAGAUUGGACGCUCAUGCACGAAAGCGUGGGGAGCAACAGG